rnacentral:rRNA from 1 species
GAUGAACGCUAGCUACAGGCUUAACACAUGCAAGUCGAGGGGCAGCAUGAACUUAGCUUGCUAAGUUUGAUGGCGACCGGCGCACGGGUGAGUAACACGUAUCCAACCUUCCGUUUACUCAGGGAUAGCCUUUCGAAAGAAAGAUUAAUACCUGAUAGUAUGGUGAGAUUGCAUGAUAACACCAUUAAAGAUUUAUUGGUAAACGAUGGGGAUGCGUUCCAUUAGGUAGUAGGCGGGGUAACGGCCCACCUAGCCUGCGAUGGAUAGGGGUUCUGAGAGGAAGGUCCCCCACAUUGGAACUGAGACACGGUCCAAAACUCCUACGGGAGGCAGCAGUGAGGAAUAUUGGUCAAUGGGCGAGAGCCUGAACCAGCCAAGUAGCGUGAAGGAUGAAGGUCCUACGGAUUGUAAACUUCUUUUAUACGGGAAUAAAGUUUCCUACGUGUAGGAUUUUGUAUGUACCGUAUGAAUAAGCAUCGGCUAAACUCCGUG